GACUUCGCAGCUUGUUGGUUAAAGCACUCAUCUAGCAAAUAGGGAGUCGUGGGUUCGAUCCCCAUCGGAGAUA
rnacentral:tRNA from 1 species